UCCUUUAUCAAAUGUGUUGAAAAUAUUUCUCGUCAUUUGCUUUCAUUUAUUUUCAGCACCUUUUGGUGAACUGAACUUUCUAUAUUACUUUUAAUAAAAUCUAUCAACUUUUCUAGGGUCUGUAUUAUGAUGUCAGGCUCAGAGAGACCAAUGUCACCUACAAUUAGUGUGCAAUUCAUCAUCGUUUAAGUCUGAUUUCCUGUUUUCAGUUUUAUUACAAGUAAAUCUCUAACUUUUUAAGUUAGCAACCCAAGAAUAUUUGUUUCCAUAUGGUAAGUCAAUUCCCAAAGGAGAACAUAGUAAAUAAUCAAGUAUUUCCUUGUGGAUAUUAACAUACAACUUUAGGACAUGAUAAAAUAUUACAUACAUGUGACUCUCUUUCUGGACUUUCCACUGUGUUCCAUGAAUCUUUUCAGUUUAGUGCCUCUCUUCAGCACUGUAGUUUUAUAGUUCAUUUUAUAUUCCAGUGGAGAUUGUUUCUCUCAUUACUUUUUUGUUUUAAGGAUUUUCUGUGCAUUCUAAUGUGAUGGCAGUUCUCUCCCUUCUCAUUUUUAAACCAUGAGAGUUCUAUCCCAGGCAGGAUUUUCCUGGCUCCAAGGCAGGUGAGCUUCCCUCCUUCACAAGGACCCCGAUGACUCAGCUUUCAGAGCUGCUCCUGUGGCAGCCUCAAGUCCUGUACAUGCGGUCGAGAGGCAGAGUGAGACCAACCAGAGUCCUCUGCCUUUCUCAUUCCCAGCUGUGAUGUCAGCAGAAACUGAACUCUCUGAGCUGGGUCAAAACAGCAACCAAAAGGGACGUUGUUCUACAUUUUAUGAAUAUCUUAAACAUGUGUCUAAAUUUUUUUUUUUUUUACAGAAGAGGGGAAAAUCUGUGUAUGCACUACUGAAUUUUCACAAUUAUUUUACUAUACUUGUUUUAUCACCUAUAUCUCCAUCUAUGAAUCCAGGUGCACUGCAGACAUCGGUCAGCUUUCUGAGGGUACGGUUGCUAGGUAAAAUAUGCAAUACUCAGGAAAUUUGGAAGUUCAGUUCAAUAACAAGUUUUUAGCUUAAGUAUGUACCAAAUAUUGCAUGACAUGGCACCCUGUAUUACUUUAAAAAAAGAAACAACUCACACUUCUACUUGAAUGAAUGGAAAUCCUCUAAUAAAGAGAUCACACACACGGGCACACAUUCCCAACACACACACACACAUACACACACACACAAACUCACACAGGAUCACACAUACACCCGUCCCACCCCCACACAUCCAUUUACCUUAGAGGAGAGUCCAAGACCCACCAACAUGCCUGACCCUCAGUCCUGUUAAUACAGCAGGUUCAGACCUUCUCAGAGUGCCCCUCAGUGUUGCCUCCAGUGUCCUUGCAGACGUGAAAAGGAUGGUGGUUUAGGGCCCUAAUCAGAAGCUUCCCCGCAGAAUGAGGGCCGGGCAGUGGACUUACCUGCUGUAACUCUGAAGUGCUGGGUGUGAGCCUGCUGUGAGACUGCCCGCUUCAAGGCCUGAGACUGUUACCUCCAGGGUCAGCUUCCGCCACAUCUGCACUCUCUCUGCAGCAGGCCUGAGCUCUCCACGCUCCGGGCUCUCUCCUGCAGAGGGCCUGCUCUCAGCUGCCACAAGAGGGCGCAGGAGAACGGACCUGAGCAGAGAGGCAGGAGCUCCACUGCCGGGUCCUCCCAGGCACCACCCUUGCUGGGAAGAAGGCUUGGGAGUCCCCUGAGACAGAUCCUCAGUCACUUCUCUCUGCCUGUGUCUCAGGAAGACCAGCUCCUCCUACUGUCUUCUGUGCUAGGGAUCACUUCCUUGUUGAGUGGGACCUGAGUUUUGAGAGGAUCUUCUGCUCCUCUUCAUCUGAUCCCUUUCCUUUCAAGGCCCAAGAGAGGAAGGCAUGUGGUGGGCCCCAGUCCUGCUUCUAGCUCUCCUGUCUCCUGCCAGUCAGAAAUCUUCCAAUUUGGAAGGGAGAACAAAGUCAGUCACCAGGCCAACUGGGUCAUCUGCUGAAAUCACCUGUGAUCUUCCUGAAGUCAGUAGCUUCUACAUCCACUGGUACCUACACCAGGUGGGGAAGGCCCCACAGCGUCUUCUGUACUAUGACACCUCCAACUCCAGGGUUGUGUUGGAAUCAGGAAUCAGUCCAGGAAAGUAUGAUAGUUAUGGAAGCACAAGGAACAACUUGAGAUUGAGACUGCGAAAUCUAAUUGAAAAUGAUUCUGGGGUCUAUUACUGUGCCAACUGGGACAGGCACAGUGAUUCAGACCUGCUGAACACCACACUGAAAAUCUGCCGUGUGGCUGCUUCUAGUACACAAGACAGAACCACCCCCUCUCAUUUCCUGCCACCAAAUUUACUGUAUGCUGAACAAGAGAAACACAGCUUAACUCCUGAUCUCCCCUACAGGAUUACACUCCCCUGGCAGCAGCUGCCUCCUGUUCCCCACCCUCCCCCAGGACUUCCCUGAAGACCAAGCUGCCAUCUCAGCUAAGCCUCAGCGAAGCAGCCUGGCUGAGAGCAAGGUUCUUUAGUUCUCCUAGGACGUGGGGGAGGCCCACUCACUCUGCUGCCUAGGACAGACAGGUACACCUAGGGUCCAGCUGUGAAGCAAGAUAUUUUGGACAGCAAAUGGGAAGGGUAUUUAUACUGAAUCGUGUAUCCCAUGAUCCAGAGAUCACAGCUGAGAGUGGUGCUUAUUCCUUAUGUCUAUAACAAUAUAAGUAAUGCCAUAAUUACCACUAAAACACCAGGCCUAGAUAUACAGUUGAACAUUCUCUCCCUCUGCCUUCCCUUUUAUUCUCUCUCUCUUCUUUCUUUCUUCUUUGGUUGCUUUUAUUAUUUUUCUCAC